rnacentral:rRNA from 1 species
GUCGUAACAAGGUUUCCGUAGGUGAACCUGCGGAAGGAUCAUUACCUAGAGUUGUAGGCUUUGCCUGCUAUCUCUUACCCAUGUCUUUUGAGUACCUUCGUUUCCUCGGCGGGUCCGCCCGCCGAUUGGACAAUUUAAACCAUUUGCAGUUGCAAUCAGCGUCUGAAAAUACUUAAUAGUUACAACUUUCAACAACGGAUCUCUUGGUUCUGGCAUCGAUGAAGAACGCAGCGAAAUGCGAUAAGUAGUGUGAAUUGCAGAAUUCAGUGAAUCAUCGAAUCUUUGAACGCACAUUGCGCCCCUUGGUAUUCCAUGGGGCAUGCCUGUUCGAGCGUCAUUUGUACCUUCAAGCUCUGCUUGGUGUUGGGUGUUUGUCUCGCCUCUGCGCGCAGACUCGCCUCAAAACAAUUGGCAGCCGGCGUAUUGAUUUCGGAGCGCAGUACAUCUCGCGCUUUGCACUCAUAACGACGACGUCCAAAAGUACAUUUUUACACUCUUGACCUCGGAUCAGGUAGGGAUACCCGCUGAACUUAAGCAUAUCA